ensembl:lncRNA
CUGCAUUCCAUGAGAAUAAUGGAAAAUGACCCCCCCCCCUCCCCCAAUGACUUGCUAUAAAUCUCAAAGAUCAUUACUCUAAAGUAUUUUUCUUUGCCAGCAAUUCAAUCAAUCCAAAAAUCCAUUAUCCAUUUAUAGUUACAUUUAAUGUUGUGGAACAUCCACAAAACAAAUUAGUUCCUCCAUCACUUACAUUCUUUUUCAUGAAGUUAAUAAAUAAAUAAAUAAAAAACAUUAGAAACUCUGACACUGUAGACUCCUUCCGUAAACGUUAAAUAAACAACUCCCUACAAGAACCUCACCAUAUCAACGAUUUUGUUUUCCCUUUUUUUUUUUUUUUUUUUUUUAAAUAAAAAGAGCGUAUUAAUAGUUACCUUGCAGCUACUGUUAUAGAAAAUUAAUCAAUACCAUCUGAAUAUACUUAAAAUUAAUACUAGGUUGUAUGGAUACUAUAACUGGUCAUCUUUUUUUUCUCUUUUUUAAAUCAUUAACAUUUUAUUUUAAAUAUUUAGAAGAACAUGUCAUUGCAGACACAUUUUAUUGACUGCCUUUUUACCACAAAACCAAUUUUCUUUACUUAAGUGUAUGAUUUUCCCGUACUUUUCCACCCCAGGGCUUCAUUCGUAUGAAAUCCAGUAAAUUGCUCUGGCUCGCUUGAGUUCCUGUGACUCCUGCGAUUGAUCGGAAUGCUAACCCAUCUGUCUCCUCAGCCAUUCCUUGCUAUCUUCUCGACCUACAUCCAAAAUUCAUACAAGGGCAUAGCAAAUGGCAAGCAACAAAUGGUUUUAAAAAAAAAAAAAGAAAAGAAAAAAGAAAAGAAAGAAAGAAAAUUACAAGAAGAAAAGAAAAAAAGGAAGUUGUGAGAAUUUUGAGCACACUUGAGGGUGCUGGGUUUUCUGUGUGAAUGAUUGCCAAGUCUAUCCCAAUGAGAGCUAUUAGCAGUCAGAGUGCUUUAACUGCUCCUGCUGUACCUCUGAACUGUGCAUUCCUUCUGCUCCCUGGACUCUUGUUUUGUAAUUUUACUGAAUGAUGCGUCUCCGCUUAGCCCGAU